rnacentral:rRNA from 1 species
GACGAACGCUGGCGGCGUGCUUAACACAUGCAAGUCGAACGAUGAAGCGCUGUCUUUUUGGUGGUGUGGAUUAGUGGCGAACGGGUGAGUAAUACGCGGGCAACCUGCCCCUCUGCUUCGGGAUAAGCUUUGGAAACGGGGUCUAAUACCGGAUGUGCCUGUCUGGUCGCAUGGCUGGGCGGGGAAAGAUGUUUUUCGGCGGGGGAUGGGCUCGCGGCCUAUCAGCUUGUUGGUGGGGUGACGGCCUACCAAGGCGUCGACGGGUAGCCGGCCUGAGAGGGUGGUCGGCCACACUGGGACUGAGAUACGGCCCAGACUCCUACGGGAGGCAGCAGUGGGGGAUAUUGCACAAUGGACGCAAGCCUGAUGCAGCGACGCCGCGUGGGGGAUGGAGGCUUUCGGGUUGUAAACCCCUUUCGGCGCGGGACAAGGCUCCGUUGG